CGUCCACUUCGUACCUUUCUCUGGAUGGUUAUGGGGGUGGUCUUUUGUGCGACCACGACCCUUCUUUUGUGGAGGCACAUUUGAAGUGGAUGGCCUCGCAUCUAAUUAAUUUACAUAUUUAAAAAUUAAUAUUUAAUAAAAAUCAUGAUAAUAUUUAAAAUAUUAAUAAUGAACUGACCACUUGAGCUUGACUCUUCAAAAGAGCGACGGGAUGUAACCAUCGCUAAUGCCAUGAAAGGUGUGAUAACACCAACCAGAAAGAAAAAAGUAAACAUAAUCUGAAAUAUUACAAUUUUAAAAUAAAAUUAGUUAUUUUAAAUACAUAGCCAGACACCCGUAUAUGGGGUC
rnacentral:lncRNA from 1 species